AUUAUAAAAUUAUCUCGAAUGAAAAAUAACUUUUUCUGCACCCAGAAUUUUUUUUUUUGAGGGGAGCACCCAGAAUUAGAAUGGUUCACGAUCGCCGAUGGACUUGUUCCCGAACUCUCCCAACCCGUGUAGAAAAAAAAAACCACUCCCCGUCCACCACCUCCCCCGAUCCCCAACCUUCCCCCGAUCUCUCUGGUGCCAGGCGCCAGCGCCGUGCAUCUCUCCCCGCUCCUCGAUCUCUCCUAGCACCGCCGCUCCCCGCUUCCCCUACCUCCCGGCGCCGCCAUGCCCACUUCCCUUGCCUCCUGGUGCCGCCGCUCCCCUCCACCCCGCUUCCCCUACCUCCAAGUGCCACAGCCCCAACCUCCGCGUGCAACCAGGCUGCAUUCCGCCGUCGCCUCUUGCUCUGGCGUGCCUCCCAUCACCCUGGCUCCGGAACGCCUCCCACCGCCACACCCCCGGCCCCGGUGCACUUCCUGCCAUCGCCUUAUCUCCAGAAGCCGCGGCCACCCGUGACCAGCGACGGCACAAACAGCUACAGAUCCAGUGGGAUUCGCCCCCACUCCUGUCCAUAGUCGCGUGGCUCGCGGCAAAACAGGGCCGCCGAGAAGAACAUCUCCCGUCCGGCAAGGAGCACCUCAGGGGCGUCCGACGAGGAGCAUCUUAGGGGCGAGGAACAUCUCCCACCUCCUCCCUAGUGCAGAGCUUUCAGUCUAGGCCCCCGCGCCAAAAAACGUAGUGUCCACUCCUAUGAAAAUGCUCCUCCAAUAUCUUCAGGCGGUGUUGGCAUUCGGUCGCAGAGAGAUGUGUGGAGUGCUGCAUUCCGCUCGUUGUUGACCCCGUGGCCGCAAACGGCCAAUAUUAUUGUCGUGUGUGGACUGCAGCGACGACCGAAUCCGACCUUCACCAGCAUCACCGUUCUUCCUUCUCUUGUUCACCAACGGGCACCGCCCGUCAUGGGUUAAGACACUGCUCGGACACUUCGAGGUGCCAUCGAUGGAUGUCGUGUCAAAAAAAUUCACUCUCUUCGGCUUUAUUGCUGGGUGGAGCAUCGCAACCUCUGCUGAGACCGGACCUACCUUCUAGCUUGCACUGGCACUCGUCUCAUGCAUAUACUUUCUCAACGACAAGAUGAAAAACCUUGGCAGGGCAUCUUCUACAGGGCUUGGACUCUUUGCGAGUGGCUGGAUAGUUGGUUCGCUGGUUGUCCCAGUGAUCCUGGCAUUUAUUUUGCCGCGUACUUGGUGUCUGGAGCUCCUUACUUCGCUGGUCGCUUAUGUAUUUUUAUUCUUGGGUUGCAUCCACUUGUGACGUUCCACCUACUAAUGUCAAAGACAAACAAUUUUGUACAUGAGAUGUUAAUGUAAACAUUGAUACGAGUAAUUGAUAGUCUGGGUUGGUGUUU